AACGAACGCUGGCGGCAUGCCUAACACAUGCAAGUCGAACGAGACCUUCGGGUCUAGUGGCGCACGGGUGCGUAACGCGUGGGAACCUGCCCUUAGGUUCGGAAUAACUCCCCGAAAGGGGUGCUAAUACCGGAUAAUGUCUUCGGACCAAAGAUUUAUCGCCUUUGGAUGGGCCCGCGUUGGAUUAGCUAGUUGGUAGGGUAAAAGCCUACCAAGGCGACGAUCCAUAGCUGGUCUGAGAGGAUGAUCAGCCACACUGGGACUGAGACACGGCCCAGACUCCUGGGGGAGGCAGGAGGGGGGAAAUUUGGACAAGGGGCGAAAGCCUGAUCCACCAAGGCCGGGGGAGUGAUGAAGGCCUUGGGGUUGAAAGGCUUUUUUCCCCGGGAUGAAAAUGACGGUACCGGGAAAAAAAGCCCCGGCAAACUCCGG
rnacentral:rRNA from 1 species